UACGGGGGGGGCAAGCGUUGUUCGGAAUUACUGGGCGUAAAGGGCUCGUAGGCGGCCAACUAAGUCGGACGUGAAAUCCCUCGGCUCAACCGGGGAAUAGCAUCCGAUACAGCCUGGCUUGAGGACGGUUGGGGUGAGUGGAACUCCUGGUGGAGCGGUGAAAUGCGUAGAGAUCCGGAAGAACACCGGUGGCGAAGGCGGUUAGCUGGGCAGUUGCUGACACUGAGGCGCGACAGCGUGGGGAGCAAACAGG
rnacentral:rRNA from 1 species